UACGAAGGGGGCUAGCGUUGCUCGGAAUUACUGGGCGUAAAGCGCACGUAGGCGGAUUGUUAAGUCGGGGGUGAAAUCCUGGAGCUCAACUCCAGAACUGCCUUUGAUACUGAAGAUCUUGAGUUCGGGAGAGGUGAGUGGAACUGCGAGUGUAGAGGUGAAAUUCGUAGAUAUUCGCAAGAACACCAGUGGCGAAGGCGGCUCACUGGCCCGAUACUGACGCUGAGGCGCGAAAGCGUGGGGAGCGAACAGG
rnacentral:rRNA from 1 species